AUACUGUUCCCGGACCACUCCUGGCUGAGGGUCGU
rnacentral:rRNA from 2 species